rnacentral:misc_RNA from 1 species
AAAAACUGAUCAAACAAAAGCAAAGUUACAUGUCUCCAAUCAUGCUGUACAAGAGAAUAGAAGAAAGGAAACGCAAAACAAAGGGAAAUGUCACAUCAACAAAUCUCUAUCUAGUGAGCAAGAACAAGUAUCAAGUUUCAGGACAGUCCCAAAAACAAAGCGCCAAACCGUUAAAGAAUGCCACUUAAAUACAAGCAUAGUAAAAAAUUUAAGACUUCGAAACUCAAGAAUCUAUACAAGAACUUGAACAAGACGAACCAUGCUACCGACCAAGCCAACCUCGUGGUGGCUGAACUUCACCAUCAUUCAUUAACUUGUCCAACACCGUAUUCAAAUCCACUGUCUGUCCACUCUCAGUCAACCUCCGAACUGUUGCCCUUACUUGGUCUCUUGGAAAUCCCAUGUUUGUAACUUUGUCAACAACAUCAUCAAUAGGAACCCUAUUACCACUACCGGGAGAACUAGACCCACCACUAACAGCAGAAGCAGUAGGAAGUGCUUGAGGUAAUAUCCUUGCAGUGGGGAGCUGCUGAUAGCCACUUGAACCACUCUGGCCCAUAGAAGGUAGGGAAACUUGUGGUGGUUUCAUUGAAGAGCCACUGCCAUACUGGCCUGGGGAACUGCUAUAAGGAUAAGGGUCACCAGGCAUAGAGGAUGGUCCAUACACACCAGAAUAUCCGGGGCCAGGUCUGCUAGAUGGGGGCUCAAAUAUAUUAGGGGGAGUUCCAUAUAACUGCUGUGAUGGAGGUGCUCCACUAGAUGAAUGAGGAGGUUGGCGUAUGCUUGGCGGUGGAUAAGUCUGGGAUGGUACAAAAGGUGUCUCUUCACGAUGAUGGCCUACUAGAGGUUGAGGUUGAGGUUGAGGUU